GAGUUGGCAUUUGGUGCUCUGGAGAAAGCACAGAGAUGAGAGAAGCAGAAUAAGGACCUCAAAAGGCAGUUUUGCUGGAGAUGCUGUCCAUGAGAUGGCAUCAUCUUGUCCAAAGACUCUGGGAACUGACCUGUCCUUGAGGUUGAGGAUCCUUGCACUUCUAUGGUUUCCACCAUGCUAGUAUCUGGGAAUAUCUGUAUUUCGAAUUCUCCACUGGAAUUUUACCACAAUCUUGCUGCAUUGGCUUU
rnacentral:lncRNA from 1 species